rnacentral:lncRNA from 1 species
CUCUUUCUCUCCUGUGACCAUGUGAAGAAGCUGCUUGCCUCCGCUUCACCUUCCACCAUGAUUGUCCUGUAAGCAGAUGAGCAGAUGAACAGAAGAGCAGAAGAGCAGCACAGCCGAGAAGGAAUGAAUGGCACAGCAGAGAAGGAGAGAAGAGAAGGAGCAUCUGAACGUUGAGAGUUCAACUAGAAAUGGUCAGAGAGGAGACUGAUCAUGGGAUAGCCAAACUCCAGGAGA